rnacentral:rRNA from 1 species
ACGAACGCUGGCGGCGUGCUUAACACAUGCAAGUCGAACGAUGAACCUGGAGCUUGCUCUAGGGGAUUAGUGGCGAACGGGUGAGUAACACGUGAGUAACCUGCCCUUGACUCUGGGAUAACCUCCGGAAACGGAAGCUAAUACCGGAUAUGACGCACGGAGGCAUCUCCUGUGCGUGGAAAGAAUUUCGGUCAAGGAUGGACUCGCGGCCUAUCAGGUAGUUGGUGAGGUAACGGCCCACCAAGCCUACGACGGGUAGCCGGCCUGAGAGGGUGACCGGCCACACUGGGACUGAGACACGGCCCAGACUCCUACGGGAGGCAGCAGUGGGGAAUAUUGCACAAUGGGCGCAAGCCUGAUGCAGCAACGCCGCGUGAGGGACGACGGCCUUCGGGUUGUAAACCUCUUUUAGUAGGGAAGAAGCGAAAGUGACGGUACCUGCAGAAAAAGCACCGGCUAACUACGUGCCAGCAGCCGCGGUAAUACGUAGGGUGCAAGCGUUGUCCGGAAUUAUUGGGCGUAAAGAGCUCGUAGGCGGUUUGUCGCGUCUGCUGUGAAAACCCGAGGCUCAACCUCGGGCCUGCAGUGGGUACGGGCAGACUAGAGUGCGGUAGGGGAGAUUGGAAUUCCUGGUGUAGCGGUGGAAUGCGCAGAUAUCAGGAGGAACACCGAUGGCGAAGGCAGAUCUCUGGGCCGUAACUGACGCUGAGGAGCGAAAGCGUGGGGAGCGAACAGGAUUAGAUACCCUGGUAGUCCACGCCGUAAACGUUGGGAACUAGAUG